rnacentral:misc_RNA from 1 species
UUUCCGUAGGUGAGCCUGCGGAAGGAUCAUUCAUAAUAAAGUGUUUUAUGGCACUUUUUAAAAAUCCAUAUCCACCUUGUGUGCAAUGAUAGAUCUCGUCAAUCUUGGCGAGAUUUUUAUACAUCAACUCAUUCUUUAACUAAUUUGUCUGAAAAAUAUUAUGAAUACUUAAUUCAAAAUACAACUUUCAACAACGGAUCUCUUGGCUCUC